UACGUAGGAUGCAAGCGUUGUCCGGAUUUACUGGGCGUAAAGCGCGCGCAGGCGGUACGGUAAGUGUGAUGUGAAAUCUCCCUGCUCAACGGGGAGGGUGCAUCGCAGACUGCCGAACUAGAGGUGGGUAGAGGGUGGUGGAAUUGCUGGUGUAGCGGUGAAAUGCGUAGAGAUCAGCAGGAACACCCGUGGCGAAGGCGGCCACCUGGGCCUUACCUGACGCUGAGGCGCGAAGGCUGGGGGAGCGAACGGG
rnacentral:rRNA from 1 species